AACGAACGCUGGCGGCAGGCCUAACACAUGCAAGUCGAACGUGAAGCCACCUUCGGGUGGUGGAAAGUGGCAGACGGGUGAGUAACGCGUGGGAACGUGCCUUUCGGUUCGGGAUAACCCAGGGAAACUUGGGCUAAUACCGGAUACGCCCUUCGGGGGAAAGAUUCAUUGCCGAAAGAUCGGUCCGCGUCGGAUUAGCUAGUUGGUGGGGUAAAAGCCUACCAAGGCGACGAUCCGUAGCUGGUCUGAGAGGAUGACCAGCCACACUGGGACUGAGACACGGCCCAGACUCCUACGGGAGGCAGCAGUGGGGAAUAUUGGACAAUGGGCGCAAGCCUGAUCCAGCCAUGCCGCGUGGGUGAAGAAGGCCCUAGGGUUGUAAACCCCUUUCAGCGGGGAAGAUAAUGACGGUACCCGCAGAAGAAGCCCCGGCUAACUCCGUGCCAGCCGCCGCUGUAAUAC
rnacentral:rRNA from 1 species